UCUUGUAUUUUCGUCUCAUCUAUUCAUUUUGAUGUUCCGAAUCAAUUUCAAAAUGUGUUUUUUUUAUUUCUUAGUUCAAUGGUUUGAUUGCCCUGUCUAAUCUUUUAUUUUGAUUCUGAUUGUAUCUACAUACCCUUUAUUAUUUAUUAUUUUAAUUAUUUAUUAUUUUAGACUUAUUCUAUUCGGGUUGCUAACUCAACGGUAGAGUACUCGACUUUUAAGUGAA
rnacentral:lncRNA from 1 species